CUGCGCCACGAGUGGCAAUCGCUAUUAUUGGGCCUAAAGCGUCCGUAGCUGGUAUUGUAAGUCUUUUGUGAAAUCGUCAAGCUUAACUUGACGGCGUGCUUAAGAUACUGCAAGACUUGGAACCGGGAGGAGUUAGAGGUAUUCUGAGGGGAGCGGUAAAAUGCUAUAAUCCUCAGAGGACCACCUGUGGCGAAGGCGUCUAACUAGAACGGAUUCGACAGUGAGGGACGAAAGCCAGGGGAGCGAUCCGGAUUAGAUACCCGUGUAGUCC
rnacentral:rRNA from 1 species